rnacentral:rRNA from 1 species
AACGAACGCUGGCGGCAUGCCUAACACAUGCAAGUCGAACGAAGCCUUCGGGCUUAGUGGCGCACGGGUGCGUAACACGUGGGAAUCUGCCCUUCGGUUCGGAAUAACAGUUAGAAAUGACUGCUAAUACCGGAUGAUGACGAAAGUCCAAAGAUUUAUCGCCGAAGGAUGAGCCCGCGUAGGAUUAGGUAGUUGGUAGGGGUAAAUGGCCUACCAAGCCGACGAUCCUUAGCUGGUCUGAGAGGAUGAUCAGCCACACUGGGACUGAGACACGGCCCAGACUCCUACGGGAGGCAGCAGUGGGGAAUAUUGGACAAUGGGCGAAAGCCUGAUCCAGCAAUGCCGCGUGAGUGAUGAAGGCCUUAGGGUUGUAAAGCUCUUUUACCAGGGAUGAUAAUGACAGUACCUGGAGAAUAAGCUCCGGCUAACUCCGUGCCAGCAGCCGCGGUAAU